GUGUCUCUGUAUCCUGCUGGACUAUAUGCCCUUUAAAGCAAGUAGAGCACAUUACUCAUCACUCAAUCUCCAGGACCAAGUUAAUGUUCUGUAUAUAGUAAUGUCGACAGCAACAUCUCCCCCAGGUGUAACAACUAAACGUGUCUCCAGACAUUGGCAAAUAUCCUUGGGCCAUGGAGAAAACAUCACCUUCAAUUGAAAACCACUGGGCCACUCUAAUGCCUUCAAGGGACAGAUCCCAGGUCUAAACCCUAGCCAAAACCCCUUGUGUUAGAGGAGCUCACCCUUUACUGCUGAUGAAAUCUCCAUGAUGAAGUGCUUUCCUGGUGACACCCAGAGAUCGUUUGCUAUGUGAAUGCUUUUCUUGCUCAAAUUUCAACAAACAUGAUUGGUAGGUGCUCUAUUUAGGCUGUAUAGAAAGCACCAGAACAUAGCGUGAUGGAGGCAGCAUGAACUCCUCAAAAUUGCCAAUACCAGCUCUAAAAUGAAAACAUACAUUAUCUUCAUACAUCAGAAGAAUGAAUACUGUUAAAAUUACCUUACUACUCAAAGUGAUCCACAGAUUUAAUGCAAUCUCCAUCAAAUGACAUUCUUCACAGAAAUAGAAAAAGUGAUCCUAAAAUCUGUGUAGAACCGUAACACUUUGAAUAGACAAAGUAAUCUAAGGAAAAAGAACAAAGCUGGAGACAUCACAUAACCUGACUUCAAAAUAUACUACAAGGCUACAAUAACAGAAACAACAUGAUAUUUGUAUGAAAGCAGACACAUAGACCAAUGAAACAGAAUAGAGAACCCAGAAAAAAAUCCACAUAUUUAUAGCCAAAAUAUCUUUUGACAAAGUGCCAAAAACAUACAUUAGGGAAAAGACACCAUCAUUGAUAAAUGAUACUAGAGAAAUUGGAUAUCCAUAUGCAGAAAAAUGAAGCUAGACCCCUAUCUCUCACCAUAUACAUAUAAAAAUCAACUCAAAAUGGAUUCAAGACUUAGAUGUAGACCAGAAAAUUUUUACUAUAAAAAAGACCAGAAACUAUAAAACUACUGGAAGAAAAUAUAGGGGGAAAAUGUUAGGAUACUGGCCUACGUAAAGAUAUUAUGACUAAGACUUCAAAAGCACAGGCAACAAAAACAAAAAUUGACAAGUGGGACUACAUGAAACUAAAAGGUUCUUGCACAGCAAAGGAAACAGUCAACAGAGUGAAGAGACAACCUGUAGAACAGAAGAAAGUAUUUGCAAACUAGUCAUCCAACAAUGAACUAAUAUCUAUAUUAUACAAGGAUCUCAAACGAUUCAAUAAAGAAGUUUUGAAGCCAAAAAAGAAAAAAAAAAGAAGAGAAAAGAGAACAGAAAAGAAGAAAAGAAAAGAAAGAAAGGAGAAGAGAGAGAAAGAGAGAAGAGAAGAGAAGAGAAAAGAAGAAAAGAAAAGAAAAGACCAGACCAGACCCAUAGAAUCCUAUGGGAUCUGCUGACAUGUUUGUCUGAACUUCGUCUUCCAUAUCACUGUCAAGAUAGUUUUUCUAACUCACCACUCCAAAAUCUAUGAAAAGCCUCCAUAAGCCCCUAGUUGCCCUCCAAAUUAUAACUGCAUUUGGUUCACACUUUUCCCUCCUCCUGAAGUGACUUUCCUUCUUAUUCCGCUUUUAAAAACUUUAUCACCUGCAAAAUUCACUUCAAAAAGAGCUCCCUCCAUGAAGGUUUAAUUACUCUCUUGGCCCUAAAGGAAUGACAUCUCCUGUUUGGCCUGUUCACAUUGCUGCACUGCACUGGUAACUCUUCAACGAAACCCAUUUUUACUCUUACCUCUUAUUGUUACUUAUGUACAGGUCUUAUUGCCUCUCUCAACCUCAACUAAACUAUUUAAGAGAAGUGUACUCAUCUGUUUAUUUCCUGCUGAGUCUAGUCCAAUCUCUUAUAAUUUUUAGACCAUUAAAAAGCUAUUUGCUGAAGUGAAUUGAGUUGAAAUUGGUAUAGACAAGCCAGUAUGUCUGGUCAUCUUAAUCUAUAUGUUAUUGAACAAUGUGCCAGCUGGAAUCUCCUUUUAUGUAGUGUCCUUCUCAGUAUUCUUUUUCCUUUCCCAUGGCAUUUUGAGUCCUACUGCUAAAGUAGAAAAUUUAAGAAAGCAUGUUUUCCAUAGUGAAAGAAACAUAGGUAAAAUUCUGAUAAAAAUAAAGCAUUAGAACUGAACAUUCAAUUAGUAAAUGCUAAUAAAUCCAUGGACUAAAACAAAAGUUAUCAUAAAAGUAGCUAGCAAUGCACAAGGACAUGUUUAGAUAAUAUUAUACAAUUUAUGCUUAUUUUCUUUCUCCAGUGCUCAUUCUUUCCAAAUGUUUGUUAUCUAUGCUGGAUCUUGAUGAGAGGAAGAAAAAAAGAAAAAUGAAUAAACCAUAUCUUACAAAAUG
rnacentral:lncRNA from 1 species